AGAGAAUGAUCAUGGGAUUUAUAAUUAAAGAAUACUCUCUCCAUUGGUAUAAGGCCUCUUGGGGAAGCACAAAACAAAGCCAUGAGAGCUUAUGCUCAAAGU